rnacentral:rRNA from 1 species
UACGGAGGAUGCGAGCGUUAAUCGGAAUAACUGGGCGUAAAGGGCACGCAGGCGGGCUUUUAAGUUAGAUGUGAAAUCCCCGGGCUUAACCUGGGAAUAGCAUUUCAGACUGGGAAUCUAGAGUACUUUAGGGAGGGGUAGAAUUCCACGUGUAGCGGGGAAAUGCGUAGAGAUGCGGAGGAAUACCAAAGGCGAAGGCAACCGCUUGGGAAUGUACUGACGCUCAUAUGCUAAAGCGCGGGGAGCGAACGGG